GCCUUCUUUGUGCAGCCGGCAGCGCAUCAGUCUCACAAUCUGGAGGUCCUGAGUUCGAGCCUCAGAGAAGGCA
rfam:Alligator mississippiensis ScZkoYb_33, whole genome shotgun sequence.